rnacentral:rRNA from 1 species
ACGCUCGACACCUACGGGAGGAGCAGUUGGGAAUAUUGGACAAUGGAGGAAACUCUGAUCCAGUGACGCCGCGUGAAGGAAGAAGGUCUUCGGAUUGUAAACUUCUAUCAAUAGGGAAGAAAGAAAUGACGGUACCUAAAUAAGAAGCCCCGGCUAACUACGUACCAGCAGCCGCGGUAAUCUGAGCGGGCUGGCAAGGC